rnacentral:rRNA from 1 species
AGUGUACGCUGGCGGUAGGCCUAACACAUGCAAGUCGAACGGCAGCACAGUAAGAGCUUGCUCUUACGGGUGGCGAGUGGCGGACGGGUGAGGAAUACAUCGGAAUCUACUUUUUCGUGGGGGAUAACGUAGGGAAACUUACGCUAAUACCGCAUACGACCUACGGGUGAAAGCAGGGGAUCUUCGGACCUUGCGCGAUUGAAUGAGCCGAUGUCGGAUUAGCUAGUUGGCGGGGUAAAGGCCCACCAAGGCGACGAUCCGUAGCUGGUCUGAGAGGAUGAUCAGCCACACUGGAACUGAGACACGGUCCAAACUCCUACGGGAGGCAGCAGUGGGGAAUAUUGGACAAUGGGCGCAAGCCUGAUCCAGCCAUACCGCGUGGGUGAAGAAGGCCUUCGGGUUGUAAAGCCCUUUUGUUGGGAAAGAAAAGCAGCAGGUUAAUACCCCGCUGUUCUGACGGUACCCAAAGAAUAAGCACCGGCUAACUUCGUG